rnacentral:rRNA from 1 species
UACAGAGGGUGCAAGCGUUAAUCGGAGUUACUGGGCGUAAAGCGUGCGUAGGCGGUGUCUUAAGUUUGUUGUGAAAUCUCCCGGCUUAACCGGGAGGGUGCGGCGAAUACUGAGAUGCUGGAGUGCCGGAGAGGUAAGCGGAAUUCCUGGUGUAGCGGUGAAAUGCGUAGAUAUCAGGAGGAACACCUGCGGUGUAGACGGCUUACUGGACGGUAACUGACGCUGAGGCACGAAAGCGUGGGUAGCAAACAGG